rnacentral:misc_RNA from 1 species
GGAAGUAAAAGUCGUAACAAGGUUUCCGUAGGUGAACCUGCGGAAGGAUCAUUAUUGUAUAACCGAGGUGCGAGGGCUGUCGCUGACCCGAAAGGUCGUGCACGCCCGAGUGCCCUCACACACAUCCAUCUCACCCCUAUGUGCACCACCGCGUGGGUCCCCCUUUGGCUUGUUCGGAGGGGGGCUUACGUUUUCACACAAACUUUGUAUGCAGUGUAGAAUGUAUUUUUUGUUUUUGCGAUCACGCAAUCAAUACAACUUCCAACAACGGAUCUCUUGGCUCUC